GAACGUACUUGAUGGGGCACAGUUGGAACGACUGCUAAUACCGAAUGUGCCUUAGGGUGAAAGAUUUAUUGUCUAGAGAUUGGCUCGCGUCAGAUUAGCUAGUUGGAGUGGUAACGGCACACCAAGGCGACGAUCUGUACUUGGUCUGAGAGGAUGACCAGGCACACUGGAACUGAGACACGGUCCAGACUCCUACGGGAGGCAGCAGUGGGGAAUUUUCCGCAAUGGGCGAAAGCCUGACGGAGCAAUACCGCGUGAGGGAGGACGGCUUUUGGGUUGUAAACCUCUUUUAUCAGGGAAGAAUCGAUGACGGUACCUGAUGAAUCAGCAUCGGCUAACUCCGUGCCAGCAGCCGCGGUAAUACGGAGGAUGCAAGCGUUAUCCGGAAUUAUUGGGCGUAAAGCGUCCGUAGGUGGUUUAUCAAGUCUGCUGUCAAAGCGUGCGGCUUAACCGCAUAAGGGCAGUGGAAACUGAUGAACUAGAGUGCGAUAGGGGUAACAGGAAUUCCCAGUGUAGCGGUGAAAUGCGUAGAUAUUGGGAAG
rnacentral:rRNA from 1 species